rnacentral:rRNA from 1 species
CCUACGGGACGCAGCAGUGAGGAAUAUUGGUCAAUGGACGAGAGUCUGAACCAGCCCAGUAGCGUGAAGGAUGACUGCCCUAUGGGUUGUAAACUUCUUUUAUAUGGGAAUAAAAUGUUCCACGUGUGGGAUUUUGUAUGUACCAUAUGAAUAAGGAUCGGCUAACUCCGUGCCAGCAGCCGCGGUAAUACGGAGGAUCCGAGCGUAAUCCUGAUUUAUUGGGUUUAAAGGGAGCGUAGGUGGAUUGUUAAGUCAGUUGUGAAAGUUUGCGGCUCAACCGUAAAAUUGCAGUUGAAACUGGCAGUUGUGAGUACAGUAGAGGUGGGCGGAAGUCGUGGUGUAGCGGGGAAAUGCUUAGAUAUCACGAAGAACUCCGAUUGCGAAGGCAGCUUACUAAACUGCCACUGACAUUGAUGCUCGAAAGUGUGGGUAUCAAACAGGAUUAGAUACCCUAGUAGUC